rnacentral:rRNA from 1 species
UGGAUACUAUUAUUUAUGAAAUUUAACGGAUUUGGCGGCAAGAUAGCCACUUAGAGGAACCUGCCCUGUAAACGAUGAGCCACGAUUAACCUUACUUUUAUUAGAAUUCAGUUUGUAUACCGCUGUUGUCAGUUAGUUUCCUUAGAAAACUUUCGUACAUGAAAAAUUCAAGGACUUCAAGUAAAGGUGCAGCUUAUGUAAAAGAUAGAGGUGGGUUACAAUUAAAAGAAUAAUAUGGAUAAAGUAAAGAAAAAACUUUUGAAGGUGGAUUUAAUAGUAAAGUUUAAUAAGACUUGAUUAGAGCUCUAUCUUGUGUACACACCGCCCGUCGCUCGCGGGA